AAAAUUUAUUUGUCAGUUUUCUAUGUUACAUGUAUUUCUUUUGCUUCAGUUCAACAUCCUUUUCAAAUAGUUCCACUGUGUAAUGGUGUGUUGUAAUAGUCAUAAUAAUAAUAUAAGCAAACAGGUUUACAUGGCACUCGAACAUGGUCUUUUCAGCGAGUAUGUAGAGGUAAGUUUAUACUUCAAAAAGGGUCUGUUUUUAACCUGACAAGAAUGCUGUCCAAAAUUAACUAAAACUCAAUCUUUGUGACUAUUCAACGAAAUUUCAUAUGUUCAAUUGACAACUGCUAC
rnacentral:lncRNA from 1 species